rnacentral:rRNA from 1 species
UUUGAUCCUGGCUCAGGAUGAACGCUGACAGAAUGCUUAACACAUGCAAGUCUACUUGAUCCUUCGGGUGAAGGUGGCGGACGGGUGAGUAACGCGUAAAGAACUUGCCUUACAGACUGGGACAACAUUUGGAAACGAAUGCUAAUACCGGAUAUUAUGACUGAGUCGCAUGAUUUGGUUAUGAAAGCUAUAUGCGCUGUGAGAGAGCUUUGCGUCCCAUUAGUUAGUUGGUGAGGUAACGGCUCACCAAGACGAUGAUGGGUAGCCGGCCUGAGAGGUGGAACGGCCACAAGGGGACUGAGACACGGCCCUUACUCCUACGGGAGGCAGCAGUGGGGAAUAUUGGACAAUGGACCAAAAGUCUGAUCCAGCAAUUCUGUGUGCACGAUGAAGUUUUUCGGAAUGUAAAGUGCUUUCAGUUGGGAAGAAGUCAGUGACGGUACCAACAGAAGAAGCGACGGCUAAAUACGUGCCAGCAGCCGCGGUAAUACGUAUGUCGCAAGCGUUAUCCGGAUUUAUUGGGCGUAAAGCGCGUCUAGGCGGUUUAGUAAGUCUGAUGUGAAAAUGCGGGGCUCAACCCCGUAUUGCGUUGGAAACUGCUAAACUAGAGUACUGGAGAGGUAGGCGGAACUACAAGUGUAGAGGUGAAAUUCGUAGAUAUUUGUAGGAAUGCCGAUGGGGAAGCCAGCCUACUGGACAGAUACUGACGCUAAAGCGCGAAAGCGUGGGGUAGCAAACAGGAUUAGAUACCCUGGUAGUCCACGCCGUAAACGAUGAUUACUAGGUGUUGGGGGUCGAACCUCAGCGCCCAAGCUAACGCGAUAAGUAAUCCGCCUGGGGAGUACGUACGCAAGUAUGAAACUCAAAGGAAUUGACGGGGACCCGCACAAGCGGUGGAGCAUGUGGUUUAAUUCGACGCAACGCGAGGAACCUUACCAGCGUUUGACAUCCCAAGAAGUUAACAGAGAUGUUUUCGUGCCUCUUCGGAGGAACUUGGUGACAGGUGGUGCAUGGCUGUCGUCAGCUCGUGUCGUGAGAUGUUGGGUUAAGUCCCGCAACGAGCGCAACCCCUUUCGUAUGUUACCAUCAUUAAGUUGGGGACUCAUGCGAGACUGCCUGCGAUGAGCAGGAGGAAGGUGGGGAUGACGUCAAGUCAUCAUGCCCCUUAUACGCUGGGCUACACACGUGCUACAAUGGGUAGUACAGAGAGCUGCAAACCUGCGAGGGUAAGCUAAUCUCAUAAAACUAUUCUUAGUUCGGAUUGUACUCUGCAACUCGAGUACAUGAAGUUGGAAUCGCUAGUAAUCGCAAAUCAGCUAUGUUGCGGUGAAUACGUUCUCGGGUCUUGUACACACCGCCCGUUACAACACGAGAGUUGGUUGCACCUGAAGUAACAGGCCUAACCGUAAGGAGGGAUGUUCCGAGGGUGUGAUUAGCGAUUGGGGUGAAGUCGUAACAAGGUAUCCGUACGGGAACGUGCGGGUGGAUCACCU